GGCGAACGCUGGCGGCGUGCCUAAUACAUGCAAGUUGAGCGCUGAAGGUUGGUACUUGUACCAACUGGAUGAGCAGCGAACGGGUGAGUAACGCGUGGGGAAUCUGCCUUUGAGCGGGGGACAACAUUUGGAAACGAAUGCUAAUACCGCAUAAAAACUUUAAACACAAGUUUUAAGUUUGAAAGAUGCAAUUGCAUCACUCAAAGAUGAUCCCGCGUUGUAUUAGCUAGUUGGUGAGGUAAAGGCUCACCAAGGCGAUGAUACAUAGCCGACCUGAGAGGGUGAUCGGCCACAUUGGGACUGAGACACGGCCCAAACUCCUACGGGAGGCAGCAGUAGGGAAUCUUCGGCAAUGGACGAAAGUCUGACCGAGCAACGCCGCGUGAGUGAAAAAGGUUUUCGGAUCGUAAAACUCUGUUGGUAGAGAAGAACGUUGGUGAGAGUGGAAAGCUCAUCAAGUGACGGUAACUACCCAGAAAGGGACGGCUAACUACGUG
rnacentral:rRNA from 1 species